rnacentral:tRNA from 1 species
AGCUCAGUGGUAGAGCACUUCCUUGGUAAGGAAGAGGUAGUGGGUCCGAUUCCCACAGGGG